CUUCCAUGAUGUGGGUACUUCCUUUGCAACUCUUUAAAAUGUUCCCACACAUCAUGUAAGGACUACCCAUCCAACUGAUGAAAGUUACUAAUUUCUCCUCUAUAUCG